CUCCAGGCUUAACUUGAGGAAGGGACAAAAAACCACUUGACUUGAGGAAGGUAGAGGAAUACGGAAUGUGUGGUGGAGCGGUAGAAUGCGUUGAUACCACACAGAACGCCAAAAGCGAAGGCAGUAUUCUGGACCUGUCCUGACGCUCAGAGUCGAAAGCCAGGGUAGCGAAACGGAUUAGAUACCCGUGUAGUCCUGGCCGUAAAUGUUGCUAGUUAAGUGUUGGUUUCGUCAAUUCGGAAUCAGUGCUGAAGUUAACGCGUUAAACUAGCCGCCUGAGUAGCACGACCGCAAGGUUAAAACUCAAAGGAAUUGGCGGGGACCCGCACAAGCAGUGGAGCACGUGGUUUAAUCCGAUGGUACUCGUAGAACCUUACCAGGGUUUGAAUGUAGCUGUGGUUCCUAAGAAACUAGGAACGUCUUCGAGAUCGCUACACAGGUGCUGCAUGGCCGUUGUCAGCUCGUGCUGUGAAGUGUACCGUUAAGUCGGGUAACGAGCGCAACCCUUGUCCUAUGUUACAAGUGUCUUAGGAGACCGCCGCGGUAAAACGCGGAGGAAGGAGGGGAUGACUUCUGGUCAGCAUGGUCCUUAUGCCCUGGGCCACACACGCGCUACAAUGGCUGGUACAAUGGGUUGCCAAACCGCGAGGUGGAGCUAAUCCCAUAAAGCCAGUCUCAGUCCGGAUUGCAGGCUGCAAUUCGCCUGCAUGAAUGUUGGAAUUGCUAGUAAUCGUGGAUCAGCCAUGCCACGGUGAAUACGUUCUCGGGUCUUGCACACACCGCCCGUCAUGUUCCCAAAGUCAGAAUUGCGUGAAGAGUCUGG
rnacentral:rRNA from 1 species